GGCGGCAUGCCUAACACAUGCAAGUCGAACGGUAGCAGGUCUUCGGAUGCUGACGAGUGGCGGACGGGUGAGUAAUGCGUAGGAAUCUGUCUUUCAGUGGGGGACAACCCAGGGAAACUUGGGCUAAUACCGCAUGAGCCCUGAGGGGGAAAGCGGGGGAUCUUCGGACCUCGCGCUGAGGGAGGAGCCUACGUCUGAUUAGCUAGUUGGCAGGGUAAAGGCCUACCAAGGCGACGAUCGGUAGCUGGUCUGAGAGGACGACCAGCCACACUGGGACUGAGACACGGCCCAGACUCCUACGGGAGGCAGCA
rnacentral:rRNA from 1 species